GGCAGGAGGAGGAGAGUUCCCCAGCGCCGAGGGAGCCCGGUGCUGGAGAUAGGUAAGUGGGUUUUAACCCCUUCAGCCCAGCGAGAGAGGGGCCAUAAGGGUGGGGGUCCUAAGGACUACAUAGUGCCAGGAAAACAAGUUUAUUUUCCAGGCACUAUAGUGGUCCUUUAACUCUCUUUACUUAACUCCUACAGCAGCAACCAUAACAACCAG